rnacentral:rRNA from 1 species
UAGCAGAGGUGGCAAGCGUUGUUCGGAAUUACGUGGGCGUAAAGGGCGCGUAGGCGGCCUUCUAAGUCAGACGUGAAAUCCCCAGGCUUAACUUAGGGAACUGGCGUCACUGAUACUGGGAGGCUUGAAUGCGGGAGAGGGAUGUGGAAUUCCAGGUGUAGCGGUGAAAUUCGUAGAUAUUCGCAAGAACACCAGUGGCGAAGGCGGCUCACUGGCCCGGUUCGUGACGCUGAGGCGCGAAAGCGUGGGGAGCAAACAGG